GCGCCAGUGGUGUAAUGGUGUAUGGCAUUCCUCCCGGUCAGCAGGAGAUGCGGGUUCGAGUCCCGCCUGGCGCU
rnacentral:tRNA from 1 species